UCGUAACAGGGUUUCCGUAGGUAAGGGUUUGCUUACCGAAGCCAGUCGCAGCGACUCUAAAGAACUGCCGCAGUCGACCCGAAAAUCCGGGCUGGCAACGCUAUCAGUCUGCGCUGGGAGGUCCCCGUAUCGGGGGUCAAUCAGCAGCUUCAGGAACCCCUGAAGUCCACAGAUCAAACGAUGGUGGCCACUUUCUGUGGUUUAGAUAUGAUCGGCCCUAUCCGCUGAGCGGAUGGUGAAAUUUAUGCGGAAC
rnacentral:rRNA from 1 species